rnacentral:misc_RNA from 1 species
AACGCAAAUUGCACUCUCUGGUACUUCGGAGAGUAUGCCUAUUUGAGGGUCGAUUUAAGUACAAAUCGGUGUGUUCUUGUCGAACACGUCGGAAUUGGGUGAUCUCGAAUCUUCGAGUUUGAGUGACCUAAAAUUUAUCAUCACUUCGGUAUGAUUGCGUACUUAAAUUCGUCGCUUCAAAUGCCGAAAACGUAUUUACUAGACGUAACCAUUCAUUAUGUGAUGGCAUUAUGUCUAUAAUUUUCGAUUUUCGACCUCAAAUUAGGUAAGAGUACCCGCUGAACUUAA